AAACGAAACAUGAAACUAUGACUAUAACUGUGGUUAUCUAUCGUAAGGACUCUAAACUAAUCGACUAUCUAACUCAUUCAACAUUCCGCGUUGUGCGCUGGGAGGCGCGCAGUAUAUAUGCGGAGCUAAUCAGCCUCGUAAUGGCUGACAGCUGAGGACGAUUCAGACACACGUGAGACUACAACCAAUGACAGAACGGGGAGGAGACAUGACAGAAACAUAAACAAAUGCACGAGUCGAAAUGUCACGAUUGUCCACAAGGGAAAAGCAGGUGCUCACGCACACGCGCUCACAUGCUCCACAGCGCGCUGCUUAAAGGGGAACUCGUGACAGGUGCCAACAUUCUUAAAACGUCACGGUACUUGUUUUACUGCACUAGCGUUUGAAUCAAUUCUAAUGGAGGUACCGAGGUUGCAAUUCUUCCGGACCUGAUGGGGGCAGAAAAUACGCGCAAAUGUUUCAGUCAGUCCACAAGUGGUGAAGAAGAAGAGGAAGGCCUACAAGCACACGGGAAAAAAUACAGAAGUUUAGCUCCGCCGCCACUCGUUCAGAGGAAAUGUGGUACGAGUUAAAUAUGGAAAUACUUCGCAUUCGAGGCGGAUGACAACAAACAUAUAAUUGAUGCUCUGAAGCCGGUGUGUAACCGAUGCUAUCGUUCAUUUCAAACAAAGCGAGGAAACACCUGGAAUUUGGCGAAGCACCUGAAAGAUGGUCCUAUAUUAUAUUUGUUUGAGACAGCUGCAUUGUGGCCGUGAAAACAGCUAACGUUACGCUCCAUGUAAUGUUAGCGAUAGCCUGUUAUUUGUUAACGACGCUAACACAUUGCAGUGUUAUAAAGUACCCUCCGAAUGUUCCACCAUGCAUCGCCAUUCAGCCCGUGUCCUGUCAGAUACAUGUAGCCUAAUGUCACUAAUAAUUAUUCAAAUGUUCAUGCUUUUAAUGAAUCGUUUUAUCCUGCCACCAAAUCAGUGAAUUUAAACUAAUGCUUACAUUCAGAGUAUAAGGUGUGUGUGUGUGUGUGUGUGCGCGCGUUUAGGAGUACUGCACCUCCACUGUAGCCUCCACUCAUUGCCAGUAUCAGCCAGAGGAGGAUGUCCUCAGGAGAGUUUUUUAUUUAUUUUUUGAAAUUUAUUUUUUAAAUUUUAUUUUUAUACCACACCGUGGUAUCGAGUAUCGUGUACUUUUGGUGAUAUCGGUACCGACUACUAGAUUUUUGGUAUUGUGACAUCCCGACUUACAACACAACGUUACAACACCACAUUACAAAACCACACUCCAACACAUUACAACACAACACUCCAACACAACGUUACACCACCACCACAUUACAACAAAGUUACAACAGCACGCUACAACUGAACAUUACAACACCACAUUACAACACCACACUACAACACCACACUAAACACCACACUAGAACACAACAUUACAAUAUCACGUUACAACACCAUACUACAACACAAUGUUACAUCACAUUACAACACCACACUACAACACAACAUUACAACACCACAUCACACUACAACACAAAGUUACAACACCACAUUACAACACCACACUACAACACAAAGUUACAACACCACACUACAACGUUACAACACCACACUACAACACAAUGUUACAAACACCACACUACAACACAAAGUCACACCACACUACAACACAGCGUUACAACAUCACACUGCAACACAGCGUUACAACACUACAUUACAACACCACACUACAACACAGCAUUACAACACCACACUACAACACAAUGUUACAACACCACAAGGGAAUACAGAAGUAGCUGAGGAGGACUAAAAUACUGGCAGAAGAACCAGAUUGUGGGGAAGCUACAACAGAACAAUCUGAAACAGGUGUGUGGGGGGAGUGAAGAGCAUCACUUGUAUGUAAAAGUCAGAAGGAACAGGGUCACGCCAACGAGUUAAACCAGUUUUUCAACAGGUUUGACUCACUAACGCAGGAGUCACUGAACCUCCCUCCAGCUCCUUAAAUGUCCCCACUCACACCUCCAUCUUGGCUGUCCCCAUUCACACCUGGGCUGCCCCGUCCUCUGCAGGCCUCCCUGCAGCAAAACAAGACUGGGAAAUGACAGCCACAGCCCGCCUCUUCUCACCAGUAGACAACACAACGAAAGAAAACAUCACAACACCUCCCACACCAAGGAAGACAGCAUCACCACCACCCACAUCCUCCCCAUAUCCCCACCCACACCUCCACCAUGUCCCCAACCACUACCAGCCAGUUGAGACAGCAGCUCACUAAGACCCGGAUGUCAGAGGACCUGACAUCAUCAACCGAGUGUGCAUAAAGUGUGUGCGGAGCAGAUGGCAGAAGUGUUUCGGCAUCAUUUUGAGCUAUCCCUGAGGCUAAGAAAGGUGCCUAAGAUCUAGAUAAGAUCUGCAUAGUCCGCAUGCCCAAGAAAGGAGGUCCCAGCACUCUCAAUAUCUUCAGGCCUGUGGCCUUAACAUCACAUGUAAUGAAGACCCUUGAGAGGCUGGUUCUACAGCACCUCAGACCCCUGGUAGAGGGCUGCAUGCUUCCAAUGCAAUUUGCUUACAAGGCUAACAUCGAUGUGGAGGAUGCCAUCAUCUACCUGCUUCACAGACACCUGGAGAGGCCACAAAGCACAGUGAGGAUCAUGUUAUUUGAUUUCUCAAGUGCUUUUAAACAUGGUCCAGCCACUGUGGAUGGCUGAGAAGAACCCUAACCUAACCCAAGGUGGAGGCAGAGUAAUGGUGGAAGUACAGUAAAGGUGGAGGUGGAGUAAUGGGGGAAAUACAGUAAAGGUGGAGGUGGAGUAAUGGGGGAAAUACAGUAAAGGUGGAGGUGGAGUAAUGGUGGAAGUACAGUAAAGGUGGAGGCGGAGUAAUGGUGGAAGAAAGAGGUGCAGAAUAUAUUCUAAUCUACUCUAUCUACUCAAGCGUGACUACAGCAGUGGACAGGAGGAAGCUUGAGACAUGACAUCAGUGUUCAAGUUCUAAUAAUCAGGAGGAGGACAAUAAUGUACAAAACAUAGAGAGCAACUAUACAUCAGAGUUUAAUGUUUGCACAGCUGCUGAAAACACACAGACCUCUCUCUCUCUCUCUCUCUCUCUCUCUCUCUCUCUCUCUCACACACACACACACACACACACUCAUUUUACUUUAGACAAUUAAGGGCCAAAUAGAAACCGCCCACACACACAUUCAGGUGAAAAGGAAAACUGUAAUCUGACGCACAC
ensembl:lncRNA